rnacentral:rRNA from 1 species
UACGUAGGGUGCAAGCGUUGUCCGGAAUUAUUGGGCGUAAAGAGCUCGUAGGCGGUUUGUUGCGUCGGCUGUGAAAUCCCGAGGCUCAACCUCGGGUCUGCAGUCGAUACGAGCAAACUAGAGUGUUGCAGGGGAGACUGGAAUUCCUGGUGUAGCGGUGAAAUGCGCAGAUAUCAGGAGGAACACCGGUGGCGAAGGCGGGGUCUCUGGGCAACAACUGACGCUGAGGAGCGAAAGCGUGGGGAGCGAACAGG